UUUCACUUUCAUCAAGAGGCUUUUUAGUUCCUCUUCACUUUCUGCCAUAAGGGUGGUGUCAUCUGCAUAUCUGAGGUUAUUGAUAUUUCUCCGGCAAUCUUGAUUCCAGCUUGGCUGAGAUAAAUGGAUAUAAUUAAGCUAACCUGAGAACAUAAGUGAACGUAAGUGAGGGAUUAUGAUUUGACCCUGAGCCUGGUGACAUUUGUACUUGCAGGACAUUGGAGAGGAGAACACUGUUUGACAAGAGGGCCUCCAUCUCUGGAGAGACAUGAAGAUUGCAGGUGUAUGAGUAGUGAAGACAAGAGGAAGACAAAAACCAUGGAGGAGCUCAUGAUGGGGAUUACUGGAGAGCCACUUUCUGCGAUCCUAGCUGCAUGGAGUUGUGAAGUGGGCUAUUCUCAGGAGGAUGGCUGGAGCCACUGGAAGCUUCUGUUGAUGAUCUCAGCUGCCUGCUUAUAGCAGGUGAUUCCUGGGAGAAGCGCCGAAAGCCAAAGAGUGCUGCCAGCAAUGAUCUCAUCUGCCUGCAAACAGCUGCUGCUGAGAAAAAGGCUUCUUCUCUUUAAAAUCUUUGUGAAUGUCUCAUUGGCAGGAUCUAACCUUGAAUGAUGCCGAAAAGAGAUUCUGGGACAUGUAGUUCCACAAUGUAGACUGGAGUGAGAGUUAAGUUGAUGAAAGGCAAUUCAACACACUGAGUCAUUAGGAGGGAGCUCCUAAUUAAAGAUACACCAGACUGAAAGCUUCAUGAUGAGAAAGAUUUACUUUAAAAAAAAUUGAUAUAUCCCCAGCAGUUGGGUGCUUAUGGCUGAUGGCUAGCUGAGCAACACUGAAUCAUAUUCUCUUUCCACAGUGUAUGUAGACUUGUUUCUGGUGGGUGGCUACCUGUCUACUUUUCCUAGCUUCCCAUGCAUCUAAGUGAGACCAUGUAACUGGUUCUUGCCAAGGCACUGAGAACAGAAGGGAUGUGUAUCUAUUAUGAAUUAAGGUGGAUAGGUGCCAGGACCUCAACUUUAUGAGAUCUCUUUCUUUUUGCUGUGGUCUGGCUGAGUGUAAAGCAUUGGGAAGAAGACUCUGAAGAUACCCUAGGACAAGGCAGAGUCACUGAUGGGACUAUCUGGGAUCUUUUGUCAUCAUUUAAAUUAAAACUGCUGAUCAGGAAUAUCUGAUUUGACUUUGUAUAUAAGAACUAAAUCAGGUUGUAUAAAACCAAUGAAAUUUUGGGGUUGCUUGUCAUAAUACUUGGUCACUCUUAAAUUCUUAAGAAAUAUUCAAUGACUAAAUGAGUAAAGUAGAAAGGUUUACCAUGCCCUUUGCAAAUUCUUCCCUG